GUCGGAAAACAAGUGAGCAAACGAGCAUGCGACACGCCGUUAACCUGAAUCAAUGAAGAUUACGUUAGAGUUCAGUGGUGGUGCUGAACUGCUAUUCGACAGUAAGAAGCAUCAUUGUGUGAACCUUGCCUCUUGUAAUGUUCCAUGGACAAUUCAUCAUUGAUUAAGUGUGGAUUAAAAGACAA